rnacentral:rRNA from 1 species
GACGUAGGGUGCGAGCGUUGUCCGGAUUUAUUGGGCGUAAAGAGCUCGUAGGCGGCUCGUCGCGUCGACCGUGAAAACCCGCGGCUUAACUGCGGGCUUGCGGUUGAUACGGGCGGGCUAGAGUUCGGUAGGGGAGACUGGAAUUCCUGGUGUAGCGGUGAAAUGCGCAGAUAUCUGGGGGAAGGCCGGCGGCGAAGGCGCCAUUCUGGGAAAUUCCUGACACUGAGGCACGAAAGCGUGGGGAGCAAACAGG